rnacentral:other from 1 species
ACAUGCCUGCGGUGUUCGCGUUAGCCUGCCGGGUUUUGAGCCUACUUUUCAUUCGGGAUCUCAAUAUCUGUGAUCAAAGGUUGCGCUCCGCAAGGAGAUGGCCGGAUUUUACAUGAGGGAACCCACCUGGUUAUCCAGGUUCUAAAAACCCCUGGCUACACGGCACAUGCGGGUACUAU